rnacentral:sRNA from 1 species
CUCCAAAUUGGGGAAUUGAACCCAAAUCUCCCACGUGACAGGUGGGGAUACUCACCACUAUACCCCCAUGCA